ACGGGAGGCAGCAGUGAGGAAUAUUGGUCAAUGGCCGAAAGGCUGAACCAGCCAUGCCGCGUGAAGGAAUACGGUCCUAUGGAUUUUAAACUUCUUUUGAUAGGGAGCAAUAAGAGCUACGCGUAGUUCGAUGAGAGUACCUAUCGAAUAAGCAUCGGCUAACUCCGUGCCAGCAGCCGCGGUAAUACGGAGGAUGCAAGCGUUAUCCGGAUUUAUUGGGUUUAAAGGGUGCGUAGGCGGUAUUUUAAGUCAGUGGUGAAAUACCAUCGCUCAACGAUGGGGCUGCCAUUGAUACUGGAGUACUAGAAUGAGCCUGCCGUGGGAGGAAUGUGUGGUGUAGCGGUGAAAUGCAUAGAUAUCACACAGAACACCGAUUGCGAAGGCAUCUCACGAAAGCUUAAUUGACGCUGAGGCACGAAAGCGUGGGGAUCAAACAGGAUUAGAUACCCUGGUA
rnacentral:rRNA from 1 species